UGGGGGGAGGGAGCAUGCGACGUCGGGCCCAAUUGGCCAUAUGGUGAGUCGUAUUAAGGGAGCUGCCUUGCUCCUCGGGAUAAGCCUGGGAAACUGGGUCUAAUACCGGAUAUGACCUCGGAAUGCAUGUUCUGGGGUGGAAAGAUUUAUCGGUGCGAGAUGGGCCCGCGGCCUAUCAGCUUGUUGGUGAGGUAACGGCUCACCAAGGCGACGACGGGUAGCCGACCUGAGAGGGUGACCGGCCACACUGGGACUGAGACACGGCCCAGACUCCUACGGGAGGCAGCAGUGGGGAAUAUUGCACAAUGGGCGCAAGCCUGAUGCAGCGACGCCGCGUGCGGGAUGACGGUCUUCGGGUUGUAAACCGCUUUUGACAGGGACGAAGCGCAAGUGACUGUACCUGUAGAAUAAGGACCGGCCAACUACGUGCCAGCAGCCGCGGUAAUACGUAGGGUCCGAGCGUUGUCCGGAAUUACUGGGCGUGAAGGGCUUGUAGGCCGUUCGUCGCGUCGUUUGUGAAAACUUGGGGCUCAACCUUAAGCUUGCAGGCGAUACGGGCGGACUAGAGUACUUCAGGGGAGACUGGAAUUCCUGGUGUAGCGGUGAAAUGCGCAGAUAUCAGGAGGAACACCGGUGGCGAAGGCGGGUCUCUGGGAAGUAACUGACGCUGAGAAGCGAAAGCGUGGGUAGCAAACAGGAUUAGAUACCCUGGUAGUCCAUGCCGUAAACGGUGGGUACUAGGUGUGGGGCUCCUUCCACGGACUCCGUGCCGUANCUAACGCAUUAAGUACCCCGCCUGGGGAGUACGGCGCAGGCUAAAACUCAAUGAAUUGACUGGG
rnacentral:rRNA from 1 species